UACAGAGGGUGCAAGCGUUAAUCGGAAUUACUGGGCGUAAAGCGUGCGUAGUCGGUUAUCUAAGUCGGGUGUGAAAUCCCCGGGCUCAACCUGGGAAUUGCAUUCGAUACUGGAUAGCUAGAGUUCGGCAGAGGGAAGCGGAAUUUCGGGUGUAGCGGUGAAAUGCGUAGAUAUCGGGAGGAACACCAGUGGCGAAGGCGACUACCUGGCCUGUUCUUGACGCUGAGGCGCGAAAGCUAGGGGAGCAAACGGG
rnacentral:rRNA from 1 species